rnacentral:rRNA from 1 species
CUCGUAGGCGGUUUGUCGCGUCGGGAGUGAAAACUCAGGGCUUAACCCUGAGCCUGCUUCCGAUACGGGCAGACUAGAGGUAUGCAGGGGAGAACGGAAUUCCUGGUGUAGCGGUGAAAUGCGCAGAUAUCAGGAGGAACACCGGUGGCGAAGGCGGUUCUCUGGGCAUUACCUGACGCUGAGGAGCGAAAGUGUGGGGAGCGAACA